rfam:Triticum aestivum genome assembly, contig: Triticum_aestivum_CS42_TGACv1_scaffold_433126_5DL
AUAGUACUCCCUCCGUCUGAAAAUACUUGUCAUCAAAAUGGAUAAAAAGGAAUGUAUUUAGACAUAUUUUAGUUUUAGAUACAUCUCUUUCUAUCCAUUUUGAUGACAAGUAUUUUCAGACGAAGAGAGUACAUA